rnacentral:rRNA from 1 species
UUAAUACCUCCUAUACUGAGGAGUGAAAGGCUUUUAAGCCGCCUAUGGAUGGGCUUGCGUCUGAUUAGCUAGUUGGGGGGGUAAAGGCCUCCCAAUGCGAUGAUCAGUAGCUGGUCUGAGAGGACAAUCAGCCACACUGGGACUGAGACACGGCCCAGACUCCUACGGGAGGCAGCAGUGAGGAAUUUUCCGCAAUGGGCGAAGGCCUGACGGAGCAAUGCCGCGUGGAGGAUGACAGCCCAUGGGUCGUAAACUCCUUUUCUUGGAGAAGAAAUUUUGACGGUAUCUGAGGAAUAAGCAUCGGCUAACUCCGUGCCAGCAGCCGCGGUAAUACGGAGGAUGCAAGCGUUGUCCGGAAUCAUUGGGCGUAAAGGGUCCUGAGGUGGUUUGCUCAGUCCACUGUGAAAGUUCAGGGCUUACCCUUGAAAAUGCGGUGGAAACUAGUAGGCUAGAGUACGGUGGGGGCAGAGGGAAUUCCCGAUGUAGCGGUGAAAUGCAUAGAUAUCGGGAAGAACACCGAUGGCGAAGGCACUCUGCUGGGCCGACACUGACACUGAAAGACGAAAGCCAGGGGAGCGAAUG